GAAUUUGGGAAUUAGGGUUGUGUGUCGAUUAGCCUUCUCUCGCUCAGACUCUCUCCCUCGUACCCUAACUUACGCCGGAACUCACUCCGCCGCAUCGGAGACGGCGGAGCCCGACCGAAAGCAGUGAUCGAAGCUUCUACCUUCACCUAUUUCUCCUCCUUCUCUCAUCUAUGACCUCAAUUUUCUCAUAACCUCGCUUUAUUUCCCUAAUCUGAAUAGAUCGUAAACCCUAAAUCCGAAGGCAAAACCAAUUGAAUGCUAAUAGUUACAAAUCCUAGAUCAAGAUCAUGGGGGAAAAGCUCAAGGAUGCUCAUACCACACCACAACAUCAAGAACGGAAAGAAAUAUGGAGGUAGAGGAGGUAGUUCGAAGACGUACCUGGAUUGAAGAGUUGUACGAGAUGAAGAGAACACCGAGGAUCCUUGGCGAAGUACACGCGGUUGAUGAAGACGAUAACUUCUUCAGGUAUACCGCUUGAAUGGGUGAGAAGUUUAGCCUUUGAAAAUGCAGAAUGCAUGGAGCUUAAGACACUGCUUUUUUUGUUUUCUUUUUGAAUAGCUGCAGAGUUAUGGUGAAUUUCUUAUAGCCAAACAAAGCUCAUGGAAGUAAAAAAUCUAAAGCUUGUUCAAUGGAGCUAAGGGACUAGGAUUGAUUUAAAUAUAUAUGGUAUUUGGAUAGGGCAUAUUGUAUGAAGAUGAUGUAUUGAAUUGGGUGAUUUUGAAUGGUUCUGAAUUGUGUGCACACAGGGCUGGAGGAUUGGAAAAUAUUGGUGGAUGCUUGUAUGAUAUGGGGCUGGUUUUGGAAUGAAACCAUGUAAUUAUUUCUAGGCAAUCUUGUUGUAAUGAAAAUGAUGAAUUUUGUAAUGAGACACUUUUUUAUGGUGAGCUUGGACAGAAUUCGUAUGCUCUGAAUUUGCCAUGCUGACCAAAUUUUUUCUCAAUUCAUUUUCCAUCGAGAUUC